rnacentral:rRNA from 1 species
UACGUAGGGUGCAAGCGUUGUCCGGAAUUAUUGGGCGUAAAGAGCUCGUAGGCGGUCUGUCGCGUCGAAUGUGAAAACCCGGGGCUCAACUCCGGGCCUGCAUUCGAUACGGGCAGACUAGAGUUCGGUAGGGGAGUCUGGAAUUCCUAGUGUAGCGGUGAAAUGCGCAGAUAUCAGGAGGAACACCGGUGGCGAAGGCGGGACUCUGGGCCGAUACUGACGCUGAGGAGCGAAAGCGUGGGGAGCAAACAGG